CGGAGCGAAAGCGACGUUCAACCGCAAAAGAAGCAGAGGGGGCUUAGUGGUGGGGUGACUGCGUACCUUUUGUAUAAUGGGUCAGCGACUUAUAUUCUGUAGCAAGGUUAACCGAAUAGGGGAGCCGGAGGGAAACCGAGUCUUAACCGGGCGUUAAGUUGCAGGGUAUAGACCCGAAACCCGGUGAUCUAGCCAUGGGCAGGUUGAAGGUUGGGUAACACUAACUGGAGGACCGAACCGACUAAUGUUGAAAAAUUAGCGGAUGACCUGUGGCUGGGGGUGAAAGGCCAAUCAAACCGGGAGAUAGCUGGUUCUCCCCGAAAGCUAUUUAGGUAGCGCCUCGUGAAUUCAUCUCCGGGGGUAGAGCACUGUUUCGGCUAGGGGGCCAUCCCGGCUUACCAACCCGAUGCAAACUGCGAAUACCGGAGAAUGUUAUCACGGGAGACACACGGCGGGUGCUAACGUCCGUCGUGAAGAGGGAAACAACCCAGACCGCCAGCUAAGGUCCCAAAGUCAUGGUUAAGUGGGAAACGAUGUGGGAAGGCCCAGACAGCCAGGAUGUUGGCUUAGAAGCAGCCAUCAUUUAAAGAAAGCGUAAUAGCUCACUGGUCGAGUCGGCCUGCGCGGAAGAUGUAACGGGGCUAAACCAUGCACCGAAGCUGCGGCAGCGAACGUAUCACUUAAAGCGAUUCAGCGGGUUACGAUUGACGGAGCGAAGCGACGUCAAAGCGUAUACAAAGUCGAGUCGGUUUAAGGAUACGUUCGUUGGGUAGGGGAGCGUUCUGUAAGCCUGUGAAGGUGGCCUGUGAGGGUUGCUGGAGGUAUCAGAAGUGCGAAUGCUGACAUAAGUAACGAUAAAGCGGGUGAAAAGCCCGCUCGCCGGAAGACCAAGGGUUCCUGUCCAACGUUAAUCGGGGCAGGGUGAGUCGACCCCUAAGGCGAGGCCGAAAGGCGUAGUCGAUGGGAAACGGGUUAAUAUUCCCGUACUUGGUGUUACUGCGAAGGGGGGACGGAGAAGGCUAUGUUGGCCGGGCGACGGUUGUCCCGGUUUAAGCGUGUAGGUGUGUGUUCCAGGUAAAUCCGGUUCACUUUAACACUGAGGCGUGAUGACGAGGCACUACGGUGCUGAAGUAACAAAUGCCCUGCUUCCAGGAAAAGCCUCUAAGCAUCAGGUAACAUCAAAUCGUACCCCAAACCGACACAGGUGGUCAGGUAGAGAAUACCAAGGCGCUUGAGAGAACUCGGGUGAAGGAACUAGGCAAAAUGGUGCCGUAACUUCGGGAGAAGGCACGCUGACAC
rnacentral:rRNA from 1 species